CUUAUAUAGGCCUCUUGUGUUGGAAACUUGGGGACAAAGACUCCCAUAUUUGGCUGCCAGCUCCAUCUCUUUCUUGGCAUCAUAUUUAUUUACUUAAUUGUGCAAGUCUUGGGGGCAAAGGCUCCUAUUUUUGGGGCUGCCAGCUUGUCUCUUCCUUGUGUUUAUCCAAUUGUAUACCAUUUUUGUGAUCCUUGGUGUUAUUGGUUGUCAAAUUUGGAGUCUUAUGGGAUGCCAAAUUCGAGAAGGAUGGGGAAGAGAAGAGAGUAGAGUAUAAGAUCUUGUACCGUAGAAAUGUAGCUUUGAAAGGAAUCUUACUUGUA